rnacentral:rRNA from 1 species
AGUCGAACGAAGUCUUCGGACUUAGUGGCGGACGGGUGAGUAACGCGUGGGAAUCUGCCUUCAGGAGGGGGAUAACAGAGGGAAACCUUUGCUAAUACCCCAUAUGCCUAUGGGUGAAAUGAAUUUCGCCUGAAGAUGAGCCCGCGUCUGAUUAGCUAGUUGGUGGGGUAAAGGCCUACCAAGGCGACGAUCAGUAGCUGGUCUGAGAGGAUGAUCAGCCACACUGGGACUGAGACACGGCCCAGACUCCUACGGGAGGCAGCAGUGGGGAAUUUUCCGCAAUGGGCGAAAGCCUGACGGAGCAACGCCGCGUGAGUGAUGAAGGCCCUUGGGUCGUAAAGCUCUUUUGUCAGGGACGAUAAUGACGGUACCUGAUGAAUAAGCAUCGGCUAACUCUGUGCCAGCAGCCGCGGUAAUACAGAGGAUGCAAGCGUUAUCCGGAAUUAUUGGGCGUAAAGCGUACGUAGGUGGCGAUUCAAGUCUGUGGUUAAAGCCUGCAGCUCAACUGCAGAAAGGCCAUGGAAACUGAAACGCUAGAGUGCGAUAGAGGUAAGGGGAAUUCCCGGUGUAGCGGUGAAAUGUGGAGAUAUCGGGAAGAACACCAGCGGCGAAAGCGCCUUACUGGGUCGCAACUGACACUGAGGUACGAAAGCCAGGGGAGCAAAUGGGAUUAGAUACCCCAGUAGUCCUGGCCGUAAACGAUGGACACUAGGUGUUGCGCGUAUCGACCCGUGCAGUGCCGUAGCUAACGCGUUAAGUGUCCCGCCUGGGGAGUACGCACGCAAGUGUGAAACUCAAAGGAAUUGACGGGGGCCCGCACAAGCGGUGGAGCAUGUGGUUUAAUUCGAUGCAACGCGAAGAACCUUACCAGGGCUUGACAUACCGUGAAUUCUAGGGAAACUCGGAAGUGCCUUCGGGAACAUGGAUACAGGUGCUGCAUGGCUGUCGUCAGCUCGUGUCGUGAGAUGUUGGGUUAAGUCCCGCAACGAGCGCAACCCUCGUUUUCAGUUGCCAUCAUUAAGUUGGGCACUCUGGAGAGACUGCCGGUGACAAACCGGAGGAAGGUGGGGAUGACGUCAAGUCAGCAUGGCUCUUACGUCCUGGGCUACACACGUGCUACAAUGGGUCGGAUAAAGGGUAGCAAUCUCGCGAGAGGGAGCCAAUCCCAAAAACCGCCUCUCAGUUCGGAUUGUAGGCUGCAACUCGCCUACAUGAAGUCGGAAUCGCUAGUAAUCGCAGGUC